AUGUGUCCAACUUCACUUUUGUUGUAUUUUAAGAAAUUGCCACAGCCACCCAACUAUCAGCAACUACCACCCUCAGCAGUCAGCAACCAUCAACAAACAUCAAGGCAAGAUGAAAAGCUCGAUGAAAGCUCAGGUGGUCUGGAACAAGACCAUAAUAUCUCCAGGGUAUGCCUGUAUGAAGAAUUCAGAGAAGCCUUGUAUGAAUUCAUGCAGACUGAAGAAGCGGAACCAAGGAAACAAUAUUGCCUUCAUCACCUCAGUGGGAAUCACCCUGACUUCUGAUGACUGAGACCUAAGGAACAAAGUAUCCACAUUGACGUUGGCUCUCCACGAUCAAUAAUGCCUGGUGAAUUCAUGAUGGGACACAACAGCUCUCCAUUUUUGGUUGUUAGCAUACCACUUGGGGCUUGUCACCGUGUGUGUAUAUGUAUGUGUGUGUGUGUCUUUGUGCUUGUUGUCCAUCAAUACUUGAAAUUAAACUCCAUACCUAUAAUUUUGAAAUUUAGUGACAAUCUACUUCAAGAACAAGAAUCCUAAUUUGUGG
rnacentral:lncRNA from 1 species